UACGGAGGAUCCGAGCGUUAUCCGGAUUUAUUGGGUUUAAAGGGAGCGUAGGCGGGUUGUUAAGUCAGUUGUGAAAGUUUGCGGCUCAACCGUAAAAUUGCAGUUGAUACUGGCAUCCUUGAGUACAGUAGAGGUAGGCGGAAUUCGUGGUGUAGCGGUGAAAUGCUUAGAUAUCACGAAGAACUCCGAUUGCGAAGGCAAGUGUCCGGGGUGCAACUGACGCUGAGGCUCGAAAGUGCGGGUAUCAAACAGG
rnacentral:rRNA from 1 species